rnacentral:rRNA from 1 species
UAGGGAAUCUUCCACAAUGGACGAAAGUCUGACGGAGCAACGCCGCGUGAGUGAAGAAGGGUUUCGGCUCGUAAAACUCUGUUGUUAAAGAAGAACAUAUCUGAGAGUAACUGUUCAGGUAUUGACGGUAUUUAACCAGAAAGCCACGGCUAACUACGUGUCAG